AAGGCUUCAUAUUUCUUUUAGAUUUUUGCUUGCACUUUUUUCAAUGUGUUUGGCAAUGUUUAAUUGAGGCCGAAAAGUGUGUUCCCCUCGCUAUCCUCCGUUGCAAUUUUGAUGCUACAUUUGGACGUCGGGGAACAAAAUUC